UACGUAGGGGGCAAGCGUUGUUCGGAAUUACUGGGCGUAAAGCGCGCGUAGGCGGACUGGCAAGUCAGAUGUGAAAGCCCCUGGCUCAACUUGGGAACUGCAUUUGAUACUGCCAGACUAGAGUACAGAAGAGGUGACUGGAAUUCCCAGUGUAGCGGUGAAAUGCGUAGAUAUUGGGAGGAACACCAGAUGCGAAGGCGGGUCACUGGGCUGAUACUGACGCUGAGGCACGAAAGCGUGGGGAGCAAACAGG
rnacentral:rRNA from 1 species